rnacentral:rRNA from 1 species
CAUGAAGCUGGAAUUGCUAGUAAUCACAGGUCAGCAUACUGUGGUGAAUACGUUCCCGGGCCUUGUACACACCGCCCGUCACACCAUGAGAGUUGGGAACACCCGAAGUCCGUAGCCUAACAGCAAUGAGGGCGCGGCCGAAGGUGGGUUCGAUAAUUGGGGUGAAGUCGUAACAAGGUAGC